rnacentral:rRNA from 1 species
UCUCGGCAAAUUAUCCUCAUAAGUUAGACGAAAAGAGGAACCACUUAGAAAUAAGGUCUAAUUUAUUCUUAAUUUGUUUAUUUAAAAAUAGACGGAAAAAAAAWGAUUAAAGGUAGACAGAUAAAAUAAAGAUUUAUAUUUUAUUUUAUUAUAKUAAGCUAUGGUGGUGGCACAAAAUCGGAGGCCCCGACUGUUUACUAAAAACACAAUUCAGAGCAAUGAUGUAAAUCAUAGUAUUCUGGAUGAAAUUUGCUCGAUGCCAUUAACAUAAGAGAGGUAAUGGGAAACUGUUACUAAUUGAAAGUCUGGUUAAUAGCGGUCUUAACUAUGAGGAUCCUAAGGUAGCAAAAUCAGUUGGCCAUUAAAUGUGGUCUGGUAUCAAUAGUGUAACGAUGGUCUCACUGUCUCUACAACUUGCUCAGUGAAAUUGAAUUACCCGUGCAGAUGCGGGUUACCUCCAGGUGGACGGGAAGACCCUAUGCAGCUUCUACUGA